rnacentral:lncRNA from 1 species
CUCCUGGCCGAAGAUGAAGGCCCAAAACAGGAUGUUUCCGAGAAGCUGUGUUUCUUUGGCCUUCACAAGAGAUGUUGUUUCAGUAGUCCACACUCUCACCUGUGUAGACUACUUUCCGUGGAGUCCCGGAACCAAGGUGGCUUCAGCGGAGCCUGAGGCAGAAGCCUCUUGGCCCGGGCGGACACCUGUGCUCUGACCAGGAAGGUGGCCGGUUUUCUGGAGCCGAAAAUCGUGCCGCCUCAGAGGCUCUGUGGCUCUCGCCUGUCCCAGAGACUGCUGGCCUCUGUAUUCCAUACUCUCACCUGUCAGACUGCCCUCCGUGGAUUCCUGGAACCAAGCUGACUCCCGUGGAACCUGAGGCAGAAGCCUCUCGGCCCGGGCAGACACCUGUGCUCUGACCAGGAAGGUGGCCGGUUGUCUCCAAUUAAGUUUUGUGAGCAAAUGAACAGAUGAAGGUCUCUUUGGAAGUAGCA